rnacentral:rRNA from 1 species
UACGUAGGGUGCAAGCGUUGUCCGGAAUUAUUGGGCGUAAAGAGCUUGUAGGCGGUUUGUCGCGUCUGCUGUGAAAUUUCGGGGCUCAACCCCGAACUUGCAGUGGGUACGGGCAGACUAGAGUGUGGUAGGGGAGACUGGAAUUCCUGGUGUAGCGGUGAAAUGCGCAGAUAUCAGGAGGAACACCGAUGGCGAAGGCAGCUCGCUGGGACGGAACUGACGCUAAGGCGCGAAAGCGUGGGGAGCGAACAGG